CUCCUAUCUUUCGUCAGUCAAAAACGUGUUGUCACUUAGCAUUGUUGUUCUGUCGCUCAGUUAGUUAGAGCGCAGCACAGGAUUGCAGAGAUGCAGGUUCUAUUCCUGCCGGAGGACGUAUAGUUUAAUUUUUCGCAGCUGUUCCUGCUUAGGACUAAUAAAUGUACAUAAAAUUUACACUCGAUAAUUUCCAUCUACAAAAUCAAUCAAUUAUUUUCAAUUGAGUGCGAUACCACAAAAAUCUUGAAAUUUUCCCAAAUUUCUCUCUCUUUUCAUACAAGUUCGUUGUCUUUCAUGGACAGGAUUGACGUAUUUGGCUUCCAAAUCUUUUAAAAAAUAUGCCCACAAGUAUAUAAAAAACAACAAAACAAUUUACUCAGAAAACUCCAAGAAAGAAAGAUCUAUUUUUACGAAAGCCAGGGGUGUGCCGAAAUUGUGGUGGUGAUUGGUAAUUGCCAUGAGCUGGAGGAACCAAUUGUCAUGGAAAUGGCAUUAAAAUACGCCAUGUUUUUUUGCGACACAUUUUUAUGCCGAGCAUGUCCGCCAGUAACAUCUAUAUAGCUCAUUACAUG